GACUGAGGGUGCGAGCGUUGUUCGGAAUUACUGGGCGUAAAGCGCGUGUAGGCGGCAAUGCAAGUCGGGCGUGAAAUCCCACGGCUCAACCGUGGAAGUGCACUCGAAACUGCAUAGCUAGAGUCCUGGAGAGGAAGGUGGAAUGCUUGGUGUAGAGGUGAAAUUCGUAGAUAUCAAGCGGAACACCGGUGGCGAAGGCGGCCUUCUGGACAGUGACUGACGCUGAGACGCGAAAGCGUGGGGAGCAAACAGG
rnacentral:rRNA from 1 species